rnacentral:lncRNA from 1 species
UGGAGCAAGACAUAAGGACACUAAUGACACUUCCCUCUGCUUUCUCAGGCAGAAGAACAGAGGGAGUACAGACAUCUCAGGACUAAGACCAAGACAGAGAGACUCCAAACCAGUGAUUUGAGAGCCCCGCGACGCAGCCUGCUACAGGAACGGGGACUUCUCUGGAACACUGGCGUGCGCAGGGAUUAAUCCCGCCGUAGAGAGCCAGCCUGGCCUUUGAAGUGUUACAAGGGAAAGGAGGAGGUAAGUGUCGAGGCGAGCCCCCAGCCCCCCUCCCCGCCCCCGGGCAGCGUGCGGCGGCCCGCAAAGGGUUAAAGGCCGCCUUGGCCCGGCGGUGCCGUG